rnacentral:tRNA from 1 species
GCGGCUGUAGUUUAGGGGUAAAACCCCUGCCUUCCAAGCAGGUGUCCGGGGUUCGAUUCCCCGCAGCCGCACCA